rnacentral:sRNA from 1 species
UAGUCUCGGCUUGAGUAUCCUUACGGGCUUUUCGGUCGAGACUAAUAAUUUGGAGUGCAUAUAAUGGCCCGUAUUGCUGGCAUUAACAUUCCU